GGUAAUUUGACCGUGCAAAGGUAGCAUAAUCAUUAGUUUUUUAAUUGAAAGCUGGAAUGAAAGGUUGGAUGAGAAAAAAGCUGUCUCUGUUUAAUUUAUUUAGAAUUUUAUCUUUAAGUUAAAAAGCUUAAAUUUAAAUAGAAGACGAGAAGACCCUAUAGAGUUUUAUUGAUUUUUUUUAUAAAAAUAAUAGUAUUUUUUGUUUUUAUAGGGAGGAUCAAUUUGGUUGGGGUGAUUGAAAAAUUGAAUUAACUUUUUUUUUAUAAAUACAUUUAUAUAUGAUUAUUUGAUCCUUAAUUUGAGAUUGAAAGAUAAAAUUACCUUAGGGAUAACAGCGUAAUUUUUUUUGAGAGUUCUAAUCGAAAGAAAAGAUUGCGACCUCGAUGUUGGAUUAAAAUAAAAUUUUGGUGUAGAAGCUAAAA
rnacentral:rRNA from 2 species